CCUACGGGAGGCAGCAGUGGGGAAUAUUACACAAUGGGGGAAACCCUGAUGCAGCGACGCCGCGUGAGUGAAGAAGUAUUUCGGUAUGUAAAGCUCUAUCAGCAGGGAAGAAGCAAGACGGUACCUGACUAAGAAGCCCCGGCUAACUACGUGGCAGCAGCCGCGGUCAUACGUAGGGGGCAAGCGUUAUCCGGAUUUACUGGGUGUAAAGGGAGCGUAGACGGUAUGGCAAGUCUGAAGUGAAAGCCCAGGUCUUAACACUGGGCGUGCUUUUGAAACUGUCAGACUAGAGUGCUGGAGAGGCAAGUGGAAGUCCUAGUGUAGCGGGGAAAUGCGUAGAUAGUAGGAGGAACACCAGUGGCGAAGGCGGCGUACUGGACAGUAACUGACGUUGAGGCUCGAAAGCGUGGGGAGCAAACAGGAUUAGAUACCCUUGUAGGC
rnacentral:rRNA from 1 species